UUUUUCUUCUUCCACUGUUGCGUCUCCCUCCCUCUGUUUUAUUUUACUGCCCCUGCCUUCCCCUGCUUGUGCUGGGUUUUUCUUGUUCAAUCUCCUGGGUUUUGCCCCUUUGGUUCUGUUUCAUUUCCCCAUUUUAUGCUGGGUUUUUCCCCUUUUAUAGAGCUCGAGCUUCCCCCUCAAUCAAUCCCAUCUUUGCAGGACUGUUAUUCAAAUCACGAGCGGGAUCAUAGGCAAGAGACGUGGUCCACGAUCGAUCGAAUUUGUUGCAGAUCUUCAGCCAGCUGAACCGGGAUGGAGAAGACGACCACAGCUGUUUC
rnacentral:lncRNA from 1 species